AAGAUGAAAAGAGCAUAUAAAUACAGAGCUAAGAAUAAUACCUUCCAACUGUGAGCAGUUUUAUUUCAGUGGUUACUAAAAUGCAAAGACUGUUGUAUCUGAGAUUGCU
ensembl:snoRNA